GUAUACACAUAUACAGACACCACACACACACACACACACACACACACACACGCUUUUCUCCUUUUCCCCGCUCUCGGCAGAAGAAGAAAGGCAGGAGGAAGAAGGCCAAGCGGCGAGAGAGCCGGGGAGGCGUGCGUAGUAACCACGUCCACGUCAACGGAAGAGUACCUCGAGUAACGUAGAGCACCCUCGUGCUUUUCGGUCGCUCUCGUCGGCCCCGUGUGCAGCCGUCGCGCAACCCCCGCUGCUGCUUCGUCCGCUUCGACCGGCUGCGGAUCUACCUGCGGCGCCGCGAGAGAGAGAGAUUGUGACUUCGAUAGCGGUGCGAUAACUACAAAGUACCAAGAUGGCUGCAUUCGUGGCGAAGCAGAUGGUCGGGAACAAGCUCAAUGCGGUUAAAGAGAAGGAGAAGAGGGACAGCAAUUCCGAAUGAAGAAUGUAGGGCUGGAAUCCAGCUCGCUUCCACCUCGCGAAAUGGACCAUAAUGAUGACGUAUUGGCAGCCAGAGCCGGGAAAAUUUCGUAGAAAUGUAACCACGUUCGCCAAAUGUCACGCGCCAAACUCCCUAAUCUCGUUCUGUCUCGCUCAAUUCUAACUGUAUUCAUUUUUCCGACAUUUCAAUCUCAAAUCAAGAUUUCGUACCGAGGAUCGUGCAUAUAAUUUUCGCGAAAAUUUUUCUUAAGAGGAAUAGUUUUGUGUUAUUUUGAUCGAAGAGUGAGCUUAGAUACGAUUAUAAAUCUAUUUAUUGGAUAUACGGAU